CCUACGGGAGGCAGCAGUAGGGAAUCUUCCGCAAUGGACGAAAGUCUGACGGAGCAACGCCGCGUGAGUGAUGAAGGUUUUCGGAUCGUAAAGCUCUGUUGUUAGGGAAGAACAAGUGCGAGAGUAACUGCUCGCACCUUGACGGUACCUAACCAGAAAGCCACGGCUAACUACGUGCCAGCAGCCGCGGUAAUACGUAGGUGGCAAGCGUUGUCCGGAAUUAUUGGGCGUAAAGGGCUCGCAGGCGGUUUCUUAAGUCUGAUGUGAAAGCCCCCGGCUCAACCGGGGAGGGUCAUUGGAAACUGGGAAACUUGAGUGCAGAAGAGGAGAGUGGAAUUCCACGUGUAGCGGUGAAAUGCGUAGAGAUGUGGAGGAACACCAGUGGCGAAGGCGACUCUCUGGUCUGUAACUGACGCUGAGAGCGAAAGCGUGGGGAGCGAACAGGAUUAGAUACCCGGGUAGUC
rnacentral:rRNA from 1 species